ensembl:lncRNA
CGGUGGGUAGCCGCUCACUGAGCACUUACUGUGGGCCAGGCCGGGAGGAGAGCGAUUGAUGAGGUCCGGCCGGCCCAGGGGUCAGGGCCGAAGGGCUGCUGGCAGGAAGCGGUCAUCAUCAUCCGGGACUCCCAGGGGCCCUCAGGCUUAGGAUUUCCCCGACCCCAUACCAGGCUGAGGGCCAAGGAUGAGACGAUGUGGAGCGGCAGGACCACGUCCUGGGGCACCCUGGUGUCGCCCAUCCUCCCAGGCCUCAUAGCAAACACACAGGGCAGCACGCCCCACACCCAUCUGAGGGCCCGGGCCGGGGGAUCCUGCCUCUCAUGACCCUGAAUUCAGAACAACUGUGUCCACCGGAGAGUCAGCCAAGGGUCACAAAGGAGGGCCAUGAAGCCUUAGCCCGUGCCUGCUGUCCCCGCUCACGCCUGUCCAUCCUGGGGGAUCCUUGAGCUGCUGUCAAGUCAGGGAAGAGCCUGGCUCUGAGCUGUGGGGCCCACUCCAAGCCGUGGCUCCAGAGACGGGGGCUCCCAGCCCCACUCUGCCCCAUCACCCUGUGUAAUGAGGGAACCUGGGGAGCGUACGGUUCCCUUAAUCAUCAGGCUCAGGUGCAGAGAAGGCCUCUACCCACCUGGGGGAAUUCCACCUGCCAAGGCUUGGGGAGAUUUUAAACUGUGGUGAAUGAAGUUAAAAUGAGCCAGUCUGGAGCCCCCGCCCUCCUCCAGCUCACAGACACUUGGGCAGGAAGUCUCACACCUUCGGAGGGAAACACCUCCUCCAGGAGGCCUCGGGGUUGACUCCGGGCCACAGGGAGCGUUUCUGUCUUUCCCACCCACAGCACCAACUUCUCUAGCAGCCUGGACCCCAUGCCCAGGGAGGCCCAAAGAGCUAGGGGACGCGGCUCCCUGCCCUUCCACACCAUUCACACUGGUCAGACUGGAGAAGCCUGGGGCAAGCAGGGAGCAAGGGCCCCGGGGCCCUGGGGAGGCCGAGGGGUGGGUUCUGCUCUGGACCAGCGGAGCCAGCAGGGCCCUGAUGCACCCUCUCGAAGUCACCUAGUGUCCAGGGACAUUUAUCAGGCUGCCAGAACAGGAACUGUCCUCCAGCUGCCUCUGCCCCCACCCUCAGCCUGACACCCCGGCCACUGACCCAGCCAGGAGUGGGGAAAGCCAAGACUCUCUGAACGCCACCCCCUGCCUGUCUCAGCAUGGGACUUCUUCCUUCAAGUGAGGACCUCCCCCAACCCCCUCCCCACCGCAGACCAUGCCACUUCAUAGUAUCGGGAGGGGUGCGCUCAAGCUUCCCGCUCCUGUGCAUCUCUCCUCACACUCAUCACCCUCUCUGGGCCCUCCUGUGAGAAGAUACCAGAGUGCCAGCUCUCAAAGGGCAGAUUCUGUGCCAAAGGCCCUCUUUUGUGUCCCGUCCUACCCCCAUCCCCGCCUCGAAAGGCCAGCCCCCCAUCAGGCGCCCUGUGAGUCAGCUCCCGGUGAGCAGGGCACAGACUUCCUCCCUCCCAGGCCUCCCUGGGGACACAAGGGGCAGCGGCAGGCUCCCCCCAGCCAGCCAGGGUGGGGGCCCACAUCCGGGCAGGCCCCCAGGGGCUCUGGGCCUGGCUCACGAGGAAGCCUGCAGCCCGGCCCCCCUCGCCGACCCCUGUCAGGGUGGCGUGGGAGGAAAAACCUUCCAGCCAUCUGCUCAGCUGCCGGGUUUCCGGCCGAGGCGGGGCCGGGACGCCAGGAGGACCCGCUCUCCCGGGGAAGUGCCCCUUGCCCCUGCUGGGAGGAGGGACACAAGAUGAGCCGCCCAGGGGAACCCUGGAGUCCCGACUGAGGAACGCAGGGCGCCCAGGCCUCGGGGCCCAACUGAGCAGGUAUCCAGCUGUGGCCUCUGGACCUGCCCAGUCCCCAAGGGACCUGGGAGGGGGGCCGGAAGAGAGGGAGCUGGGGCACAGGGCUCCUGGGUCCAAUUAGGCCUGACUCAGCGAGUGACCCCAGCUGAGUCACUUCCCCUGGGCAGCCUGCCCGCCUCAGUUUCCUCAGGGAGGGUGGGAGCUGGGAACAGGGUCUGCUGGGAACCAGCCGCUCGCUCGGGUUGCACCUCUGCACUCUACGGCAGGCUUCUCUGUCUGCCAGAUGGAAGUGGCUCCCUGCCCCGCCCAGCUGAGGAUGCUGGCACCUGGGCCCUGGGGACCGUUCUCCCAGGAAACCUGGCAAUUAAGUGCCAGCCCCCUUUGGGCAUUAAUAGCAUAGCUCAAACUUACUGAGCGCUGACUGCAUGCCAGGCCCCGUGCAUACCUCCUCUCAAAACAACCCUAUCCUGUAGUCAUUAGUACUCCCAUGUCAGAUGAGGAGAACCAUAGCUCAGAGAGGUUACGGGACAAGCCCAGGGUCACACAGCCAUAGCAAUUACAGCCAACACAGUUCGAGUCCCUACUCUGUGCCAGGCCCAUGCACUUUGCAUAUGAGCUCACAUACAGACAUAUACCCUGGGGAAGUGGGGACUCUUGGCCCCUACUGGCCAAGUGAGGCCCAGAGAGAUCAGGUAACUUGCCUAAGGCCUCACAGCUAGAAGCUGACAGAGCCCAGAUUUGGCCCCAAAGCCCAUGCUGCUACCAGGGAAAAGAGAGAGCUUAACAGGAAAGGCCUCUUCUUGUAAUAACAACAACAACAAUAAUAAUAUCUAUUAUUAAUUGAGUGCCAGGCCCAGCUUUAUGUGCUCCGUCUCCCCGCUAGGAGUGGGCAGCACUGGGACUGGCCACUGGGAGGUCCCUCCGAGCGCCCCCAGCCCCACCCCGUCUUCCCUCGGGGAGGCUCCGUUCAGGAGGCGGAGGGUGUCCUGAGGUGGCCCAGCUGGACCCAGACGUCCACGGGCCCCCACAGGCUGAACCGCCGUAUCUGGAGAGGUUCCAGAGGAUCUGACGGGGGUUAGGAAGUCCUGUUUAUCGGAGAAAGAUCAAGCCCAGGGUGCAGAGGGGUGGGGGUGGGGGUGGAAAAUCAGAAGGAAACAAGCAGAGCUGACAUCCGUGUCGAACCAGAUAAUGCCCAUCUCCUCACUGCUCCUCGUCACUCCUCCUGACCAAGCCGUUCUAAACACUGUGACUUCACUCUUUACGGUUCCAACGACCUUACGACACAGGUACUAUUAUCACACCCACUUGACAGAUGAGGAAACUGAGGCUGGCGUGGUCAGGCAAGGCCGCACGGCCAGGAAGCACCAUCACCUCCUCCUGCCUGGGUCUUCAGAAUUCCUCUCCCAGACUCGGGACCCCGAGAGCUGCAGGUGCAGGAGGCGCUCCAGGGAAGCUGAGGAACGACAUUCCACGACAGUGACCACGACGCUAACGGUGGUGACGAUAAAACCACCCCCCACACCUGUACGUGGACCUUUCUCUGCCAGGCAGCAGGUGCUUUUCACACACUGACUUAUUAAAUCCCUACCACGAACUUGUUAUUACCCCAUUUCGCAUAGCGGGAAACUGAGGUCCGUUAAGUGUCACUUGCCCGCGACCUCAGCUGGAAAGAGACAGAGGGAGAAUGGAAGUCUCCAGACCCUCCUCUGCUGAGCCUCCUGACGGUCCUCAGACCCCAGCAGCGGAUACCGCCGGCUGCCGCCGUGGCCCGCAGGGACUCGCCAAGUUCUAGGAAUGCUCACCCUUUGGCUCAGAAGGAUUUCCCCUCCCAUAGAGGGGGUUGUGGGAAAGGCUCAGAAAAACCGUAUUAAAAACCCUUCCAACUUCCCCAACGGGCCCUGGCCUCUCAUCUGCUGACCCCAGCCGCCCAGGCGGCCUCGCCUGCUCUCCCCCCAUCAGGGCUGAGUCUCUGGCCCCCGCAGGCCCCGGGGAGCCUCCAGCGCCGUUUCCGCUCUGGCAGCCAGGUGGACAAAGAGUUACGGGAUGGAGAGCCGGAAGGGGCCGUCAGACUGGAGGCUCGGUGACAGCGACCCUGAGGAGCUAACAUCUGAGCUGAGACCACCCCUCCCCCCACCCCAGGGCAUGAAGAAUCCAGGCGUGACAAGGUCUGAGGGAAAGGUGUUCCAGGCCAAAGGAACAGCCAGUGCAGGGGUCCGGAGAUUUCUCUGAGGCCCGAAGCGGUUUCCUUUCUCGCUGAAUUUCUUCUCGCCGCGCGUCCCCUCCAGCGUCCAGUUUCUCGUUUCAGCGCUCUCCGCGAUGGAGACGUCGCACCUUCGUUUCUGUUUUCCUUAGAAAGGCGAGAGGUUUCCGAGGAGCCCCUGCCGCCGCCUUGCCCUAGAUUCGGAGAGCCUCGCAGCUCGGCCCGUGAUCGCAUCUCUGCGGCUCCUCCCCCUUCACAGGCCGCCGCGAGCAAGAGGUUUAGGCCGAUUGCCCCGAAACGGGCAGGGCCGGCGCCCAGCAGGUCCCCCUGCGGGGACAGACGCUGACCCCGAGGGCACCUGCUGCCUGCCCGGUUCCGGCCCAGGCUCUCCGGAUUAAUAGCAGCAACGAAACAAUAGUCAACGACCAUAUCGACAGGCAUGACUGUAAGUGGAUGUGAGUCGUACGUCCCUCAGGGGUGGCUGUGGAGCAUGCUGGUUACAGAGACUUGCCCUGUGGGAGACAGACCCUCACGCCCAUUGUACAGAUGAGGACCCUGAGGCUGGAGAGCGAAGACUCCUCCCAAGGUUACCAGCCGGUGCGUGGAGGCCUCGAUGUCCACAUCUGUGGAGUGUGCUUCUGCAGACCCGUCCUCCCCCUGCUGGGAACACGGUCUGGGCCACAGCAACCCGUGUGGACUAAGACAGAAAACUGGUACCCAGACGUGGGGUGCUGCUGUAGUCAACACGCAUAACUGUGGAAGUGGCUUUGGAACUGGGUGCUGGGUAGAGGCUGGAGGAGUCUGGGGUGAUUGCUAGAAAACGUCUGCACUGCCAGGACGGACCCCUACGGGCCAUUCUGCUGAGGGCCCGGAGGAAGAGGAGCGCUGCAGACGAAGCUGGCCCAGGACAAGGGGAGAGGCCCGAGGCGGUUCGCGGAUCAUCGGGGCUUCCCUCCCAUCCCAGAAUGCAAGGGUCUGGGUGGCAGGACGAUUUCAAAGGAGGAGCCACCCCUGCUCGCUCUGCCCGGGUGGGUCCCGGUCAGCGCCCCCUCUGGCUCCAGCAGGCCCCCAGCGGCGUGGGCUGUGCCCCAAAGCUGUGCGGGCAUGGCUGCCUCCACCUAGAUUUUGCAGCAGCUGCCAGCUCACAACCCAGGCAAGGGGCCACGUUGAGGGUAGGGUCACCAGGGAGAGUCCCCACCAGAGUGGUGCCCAGCAAAGCCAGGGGGCGGACAGAACCUUGGGGGCCCAACCGCUGCCCAGCAGAGCUUCGAAGGCAGGAACGCCACCCCAAUGUGUCCAGAAGGCAGAACCCCACACCCCAGGGGCUCUGGAAAGCGGGACACAGCCCCAGCAUGCCUGGAGGACAGAGCAUCUGGCCAGAGGGGAUUAUUCUAGAGCCUGAAGGCUUUGGACUCCUCAGGACCUGCCACUCCUUUUUUCUUUUCCACCUCUGUCCUAUGCCCGUCCUCUCGCGGUUGCAUUCUGGAAGCGCACGUUUGAUUUCACAGCUGGAGAGGAAUCGGCCGCAGAAUGGCGGCACCUUGAGUCUCACUCACAACUGACUUAGAGAAGGCUUUGGGCAUUAGACUUCUGCGUUGAUGCUGGAAGGAACUAAGACUUUUGAGGCUCUUGGGAUGGAACGCAUUUUGCAUGUGUGAACUUUGG